GUUGGGUGGGGAUGUGGGAGGUGCCCGAUGAGUUGUCCCAUGAUGGGUCAAGAGUUAUGUUGAAGUCGCCCCCUAGUAUUAAAGUCCCUUCCGCGAAUUCUUGAAGUUUGCGAAGUGUCUGUUUGAGGAAGCGGUAGUGUUGUGUGUUUGGGGCAUAGAUGUUUGCGAAUGUGUACUGGUGUCCAGCGAUCUUCCCUUUAAGGAAUAUGUAUCUUCCUUCAUCAUCCGUUUUGCAUCCCCCCUCCUGGAACGGCACCCUCUUGUGGAGGAGUAUUGCUGUCCCCCUGGCCUUACCCCCUUGAAAAUCGCUAUAGUAACCUUGUGUGUAGUGCUGAUUAGUCAGUUUGGG